CGCCUUUCACCAUAGUGACGCAAUGGCAUCUCCAGGACUUGGCCGUACCAGUGACAGCCCAUAGGAACACUGUAACAUAUUGGCAUCCAGGUCCUACCCACACAAGUCCUGGUUUAUUUGGUCAAGGGUCACCUAGCUAUGAGGAGAUUAAAGGCUACCUUAGGUGAUAGGAUGAACCCAUAUGAACUAUUGUUAUUAUUGCCACAGGCUUUCUUGGCCAUUGCCCAGUCCCCUUCCCCUUGGGAGUAACUAUCAAAUCUUCCCAAGGACUUUUAAUCCCUUCCCAUGGCUUUCCCAGAAGCCAAGAACCAGGGCACAAGGUCUCAGGGGCGAAUGGAGCG
rnacentral:lncRNA from 1 species